rnacentral:rRNA from 1 species
AUUGAACGCUGGCGGCAUGCCUUACACAUGCAAGUCGAACGGCAGCACGGGUGCUUGCACCUGGUGGCGAGUGGCGAACGGGUGAGUAAUACAUCGGAACGUACCUUAUCGUGGGGGAUAACGCAGCGAAAGCUGUGCUAAUACCGCAUACGCCCUGAGGGGGAAAGCGGGGGAUCGAAAGACCUCGCGCGAUUAGAGCGGCCGAUGCCUGAUUAGCUUGUUGGUGGGGUAAAAGCCCACCAAGGCGACGAUCAGUAGCUGGUCUGAGAGGACGAUCAGCCACACUGGGACUGAGACACGGCCCAGACUCCUACGGGAGGCAGCAGUGGGGAAUUUUGGACAAUGGGGGCAACCCUGAUCCAGCAAUGCCGCGUGAGUGAAGAAGGCCUUCGGGUUGUAAAGCUCUUUUGUCAGGGAAGAAGCACCGGCUCUAACACAGUCCGGGAAUGACGGUACCUGAGGAAUAAGCACCGGCUAACUACGUGCCAGCCGCCGCCGUAA